rnacentral:rRNA from 1 species
AUUGAACGCUGGCGGCAUGCCUUACACAUGCAAGUCGAACGGCAGCACGGGAGCAAUCCUGGUGGCGAGUGGUGAACGGGUGAGUAAUAUAUCGGAACGUGCCCAGUAGCGGGGGAUAACUGCUCGGAAGAGCAGCUAAUACCGCAUACGACCUGAGGGUGAAAGGGGGGGAUCGCAAGACCUCUCGCUAUUGGAGCGGCCGAUAUCAGAUUAGCUAGUUGGUGAGGUAAAGGCUCACCAAGGCGACGAUCAGUAGCUGGUCUGAGAGGACGACCAGCCACACUGGAACUGAGACACGGUCCAGACUCCUACGGGAGGCAGCAGUGGGGAAUUUUGGACAAUGGGGGCAACCCUGAUCCAGCAAUGCCGCGUGAGUGAAGAAGGCCUUCGGGUUGUAAAGCUCUUUUGUCAGGGAAGAAACGGUUGUGGCUAAUAUCCAUGGCUAAUGACGGUACCUGAAGAAUAAGCACCGGCUAACUACGUGCCAGCCGCCGCGGUAAGAC